UCCGGUGUAGGCUGUCGCUUGGCCCUGUGGCAUCCGUUUGCCCUGCGUCUGGCGGGUGCCGGGCCAUCCACUGGAGGACGCGGACGCCGCGGUAGUCAAGCCAUAAUGGAACAGUUAACCUUCAGGGAUGUGGCCAUUGAUUUCUCUGGAGAGGAAUGGGAGUGUCUGAACUCUGAACAGCAGAAUCUAUAUACAGAUGUGAUGUUGGAAAACUAUAGGAACCUCGUCUUCCUGGGU
rnacentral:lncRNA from 1 species